AAGCAGAUGAACGCCACGUGGCUCUUUGCUUAUUCGGAAAAGUCAAGGCGGCGCAGAGAUAAAUGCGAUGCUACCAACUUGAUGAAGAAGAAGACUACUACGUGGAGAAAAAUUAAAGUUACGUCUAACAAUAAUGGAGGAGAACCUUUGAUUGGGAGACGAGUGCGGCUAAACAGAAGAGAGUUGAGAAGGGCAAAUCCGAGGAGAAAAGUAGUGGGUGAAAAAUGAAAAUGUGUGUAGAAGCCAGCACAUAAUCCAAGAGGGCGAGACUACAGAAAAGUGAAGCAUAUCGGAGAAGGAGCACCAUACAAGACUGAGGUUUAUUUACAUUUGGCGAGUAAAGCAUUAUGAACUUCAGGGUUAGCUGGCAAUGCCAAGCAUUAAAUUGCUAUGCAUGCUAAAUAAUUUUUUUUUGUUACAUUUUUUUGGUGACUUUUUUUUUGUUACAUUUAAUAUAUGAAAAGAACUUUCUGAGGAAUUUUUUUUA